UGUAAUAAAUAAGUAAAUAGGAUCUCCGGCAAUCCACAACAGUGGGCUCAAAGUUGAUCCAUGAUGAAGUUGUUUUUAGUGUUAUUAGGCAUAGGCAUAGGCAUAGCCUCAUGUGCAGUGCCUAAAGAUCAGAAGACUAGAGACUUUCACGUUGAAGCAGAUGACAAUGGCGAUUGGACUCUCAAUGUUAUCACUGAUGGUGUCACCAGUGUCCUCGGGACUAUAGGCCGUGGGGUCCCUAAGGACAAAGUGACCUUCGAGAUGAGCGAGAGUCGGGACGAAGCCAGUGGUGGGUACAGACUGUCCAUCAGGUGGGACGGAC